rnacentral:rRNA from 1 species
ACGGAAGGCAGCAGUGGGGGAUAUUGCACAAUGGGGGAAACCCUGAUGCAGCGACGCCGCGUGAGCGAAGAAGUAUUUCGGUAUGUAAAGCUCUAUCAGCAGGGAAGAAAAUGACGGUACCUGACUAAGAAGCUCCGGCUAAAUACGUGCCAGCAGCCGCGGUAAUACGUAUGGAGCAAGCGUUAUCCGGAUUUACUGGGUGUAAAGGGAGCGUAGACGGUUUGCCAAGUCUGAUGUGAAAGGUGGGGGCUCAACCCCCAAACUGCAUUGGAAACUGGUAGACUAGAGUGUCGGAGAGGUAAGUGGAAUUCCUAGUGUAGCGGUGAAAUGCGUAGAUAUUAGGAGGAACACCAGUGGCGAAGGCGGCUUACUGGACUGUAACUGACGUUGAGGCUCGAAAGCGUGGGGAGCAAACAGGAUUAGAUACCCUGGUA